rnacentral:rRNA from 1 species
UACGUAGGGGGCGAGCGUUGUCCGGAUUUAUUGGGCGUAAAGAGCUCGUAGGCGGCUUAGCAAGUCGGGUGUGAAAUCUCGGAGCUUAACUCCGAAACUGCAUUUGAUACUGGCGUGCUUGAGGACUGGAGAGGAGACUGGAAUUCACGGUGUAGCAGUGAAAUGCGUAGAUAUCGUGAGGAAGACCAGUGGCGAAGGCGGGUCUCUGGACAGUUCCUGACACUGAGGC